AACGAACGCUGGCGGCAUGCCUAACACAUGCCAGUCGAACGAGACCUUCGGGUCUAGUGGCGCACGGGUGCGUAACGCGCGGGAACCUGCCCUUAGGUUCGGAAUAACUCCCCGAAAGGGGUGCUAAUACCGGAUAAUGUCUUCGGACCAAAGAUUUAUCGCCUUUGUAUGGGCCCGCGUUGGUUUAGCUAGUUGGUAGGGUAAAAGCCUACCAAGGCGACGAUUCAUAGCUGGUCUGAGAGGAUGAUCAGCUAAACAGGGACUGAGACACGGCCCAGACUGCUACAGGAGGCAGCAGUGGGGAAUAUUAGACAAUGGGCGAAAGCCUGAUCCAGCAAUGCCGCGUGAGUGAUGAAGGCCUUAGGGUUGUAAAGCUCUUUUGGCCGGGAAGAUAAUGACAGAACCGGGAGAAUAAGCGCCGGCUAACUCCGUG
rnacentral:rRNA from 1 species